UACGGGGGGGGCAAGCGUUGUUCGGAAUUACUGGGCGUAAAGGGCUCGUAGGUGGCCAACUAAGUCAGACGUGAAAUCCCUCGGCUUAACCGGGGAACUGCGUCUGAUACUGGAUGGCUUGAGUUUGGGAGAGGGACGCGGAAUUCCAGGUGUAGCGGUGAAAUGCGUAGAUAUCCGGAGGAACACCAGUGGCGAAAGCGGCCACCUGGACUGUACCUGACGCUGACACGCGAAAGCUAGGGGAGCGAACGGG
rnacentral:rRNA from 1 species